rnacentral:lncRNA from 1 species
CGAUGCGGUGGGACCUUGGAAGGCGCGACGCCGGCCGGCGGGUGGAGGAGGUGGAGGAGGGGUGUUGGAGGAGGAGGUGUGCGGGGCCGGGGCUGGGGGCGGCGUGGUGUAGCCGGGGAGGGUGGUGGGUGUUGGGGUGCUGCCGGCGGCGGCGCGGAGAUGGUCUUCCAGCUCGUCGCGGUCGGCGGACCGGAGCUCGAUGCGGGUGGGGUUGCGCCGCAGCAUUUGGGAUUUGGAUUGGGAAUUUGGGAUGGAAUGGAACGGCGGAUGUGAGCGGAUAUCUGUAGCGCUCCGAUGUCUCAUUCGAUUUUGGUUGCACAAUCUCGGUAUUCUGCAGCUGUUGCCUGUUGGAUUAAAUUGUUGAGUUUGAC